rnacentral:lncRNA from 1 species
GGUUUUCUUGGCAAAGACACUGGAAUGGGUUGUCAUUUCCUUUUCUACUUCAUUUUACAGAUGUGGAAACCAAGGCAAACUGAGUUAAGUGACUUCUCCAGGGUCACACAACUGAGCUCCAAGUGGAAU